rnacentral:rRNA from 1 species
ACUCCUACGGGAGGCAGCAGUGGGGAAUAUUGCACAAUGGGCGCAAGCCUGAUGCAGCCAUGCCGCGUGUAUGAAGAAGGCCUUCGGGUUGUAAAGUACUUUCAGCAGUGAGGAAGGUGGGUAUGUUAAUAGCAUAUUCAUUUGACGUUAGCUGCAGAAGAAGCACCGGCUAACUCCGUGCCAGCAGCCGCGGUAAUACGGAGGGUGCGAGCGUUAAUCGGAAUUACUGGGCGUAAAGCGCAUGCAGGUGGUUUGUUAAGUCAGAUGUGAAAGCCCGGGGCUCAACCUCGGAAUUGCAUUUGAAACUGGCAAACUAGAGUACUGUAGAGGGGGUAGAAUUUCAGGUGUAGCGGUGAAAUGCGUAGAGAUCUGAAGGAAUAACCGGUGGCGAAGGCGGCCCCCUGGACAGAUACUGACACUCAGAUGCGAAAGCGUGGGGAGCAAACAGGAUUAGAUACCCUGGUAGGAUAGCG